UACGGGGGGGGCAAGCGUUGUUCGGAAUUACUGGGCGUAAAGGGCUCGUAGGCGGCCCACUAAGUCAGACGUGAAAUCCCUCGGCUUAACCGGGGAACUGCGUCUGAUACUGGAGGGCUUGAGUUCGGGAGAGGGAUGCGGAAUUCCAGGUGUAGCGGUGAAAUGCGUAGAUAUCUGGAGGAACACCGGUGGCGAAGGCGGCAUCCUGGACCGACACUGACGCUGAGGCACGAAAGCGUGGGGAGCAAACAGG
rnacentral:rRNA from 1 species